rnacentral:rRNA from 1 species
UACGGAGGGUGCAAGCGUUAUCCGGAUUCACUGGGUUUAAAGGGUGCGUAGGUGGGUUGGUAAGUCAGUGGUGAAAUCCCCGAGCUUAACUUGGGAACUGCCAUUGAUACUAUCAGUCUUGAAUACCGUGGAGGUCAGCGGAAUAUGUCAUGUAGCGGUGAAAUGCUUAGAUAUGACAUAGAACACCAAUUGCGAAGGCAGCUGGCUACGCAUAUAUUGACACUGAGGCACGAAAGCGUGGGGAUCAAACAGG